rnacentral:rRNA from 1 species
GCGUAAUAGCUCACUGGUCGAGUCGGCCUGCGCGGAAGAUGUAACGGGGCUAAACCAUGCACCGAAGCUGCGGCAGCGACACUAUGUGUUGUUGGGUAGGGGAGCGUUCUGUAAGCCGUUGAAGGUGUGCUGUGAGGCAUGCUGGAGGUAUCAGAAGUGCGAAUGCUGACAUAAGUAACGAUAAAGCGGGUGAAAAGCCCGCUCGCCGGAAGAC